rnacentral:rRNA from 1 species
AUUGAACGCUGGCGGCAGGCUUAACACAUGCAAGUCGAGCGGAGUGAUGGUGCUUGCACUAUUACUUAGCGGCGGACGGGUGAGUAAUGCUUAGGAAUCUGCCAUUUAUUGGGGGACAACAUUCCGAAAGGAAUGCUAAUACCGCAUACGUCCUACGGGAGAAAGCAGGGGAUCUUCGGACCUUGCGCUAAAUGAUGAGCCUAAGUCGGAUUAGCUAGUUGGUGGGGUAAAGGCCUACCAAGGCGACGAUCUGUAGCGGGUCUGAGAGGAUGAUCCGCCACACUGGGACUGAGACACGGCCCAGACUCCUACGUGAGGCAGCAGUGGGGAAUAUUGGACAAUGGGCGGAAGCCUGAUCCAGCCAUGCCGCGUGUGUGAAGAAGGCCUUUUGGUUGUAAAGCACUUUAAGCGAGGAGGAGGCUCUCCUAGUUAAUACCUAGGAAGAGUGGACGUUACUCGCAGAAUAAGCACCGGCUAACUCUGUGCCAGCCGCCGCCGUAAUAC